GCCCUGGUGGUCUAGUGGUUAAGAUGCAGUGCUCUCAUCACGGUGGCCUGGGUUCAUUUCCCAGUCGGGGAA
rnacentral:tRNA from 1 species